UAAAGGGUAACACCGGCUACGGAUGGCCAUGCGGCGCAUUAGCUAGUUGGCGGGGUAACGGCCCACCAAGGCGACGAUGCGUAGGGGUUCUGAGAGGAAGGUCCCCCACACUGGUACUGAGACACGGACCAGACUCCUACGGGAGGCAGCAGUGAGGAAUAUUGGUCAAUGGGCGCGAGCCUGAACCAGCCAAGUCGCGUGAGGGAAGACGGUCCUAUGGAUUGUAAACCUCUUUUGUCGGGGAGCAAAAGACGCCACGUGUGGCGUUCCGAGAGUACCCGAAGAAAAAGCAUCGGCUAACUCCGUGCCAGCAGCCGCGGUAAUACGGAGGAUGCGAGCGUUAUCCGGAUUUAUUGGGUUUAAAGGGUGCGCAGGCGGAAGAUCAAGUCAGCGGUAAAAUUGAGAGGCUCAACCUCUUCGAGCCGUUGAAACUGGUUUUCUUGAGUGAGCGAGAAGUAUGCGGAAUGCGUGGUGUAGCGGUGAAAUGCAUAGAUAUCACGCAGAACUCCGAUUGCGAAGGCAGCAUACCGGCGCUCAACUGACGCUCAUGCACGAAAGUGUGGGUAUCGAACAGGAUUAGAUACCCUGGUAGUCCACACAGUAAACGAUGAAUACUAAUUGUUCGGGGAGAAUGAUCCCUGA
rnacentral:rRNA from 1 species